UAAGUAUAUGAGCACGACAUUUUGGAGAUGGUUAUAUUUCAUAUUGGUAAUUGGUUAUUUUUGUAUUAUAACGCUAAUUUAGAACUAAUUUGAGACCAAAAAUUGGAGCUGUAAAAUAAACAGUUUUUUUGGGAACGGGAACACAUCGACCGCGGAGACUGCGCUCUUACCGAAAAGAUCGAAGCCGACAAAGCCGUGAUUCAGUUAGACAUCGGAACAUUGUAAAUCAAUCCACUGAAGAAGAACGACAAAAACACAAGAGAUCAAGAAAUCUCCGAGCCCAAAUGACAGGUCUUGCUGUCAGACUUCCGGAAAUCUCAUCCAUCUGAACAUAAUUAUGAAAAAUGUUUAUUAUUUUGUAUUAUUAUUCACUGCCAUUUGCCGUUUGAGGGAGGAAAGAAAGAAAUAAAGGAAAAGGCCAAGAAAAAGAGGUGGCGAAAGAAAGAGCGAAAGAGCAUUCCCACAGUCUAGAGUCUAGACAACUUGUUUAUGGUUAAGUUGCGUGCAGAUACCGGCCCGGAACGGCCCGGCCCCGUAGGACCAACUCUGCAGCUACCACGUCAUUCAAGGACAAUGCGCUUCGCCUGCCCUCCUGCACCCGUGCAACAAAUUUAUAACCACACCAUUGGACUUUUUUGUAUACACAUUUUUAUUAAAAACGGGAGAACUGCAGCGGGAGAACUAUGUGGAAACAGUCAACCAAAUGGCUAAAAGCUAAAAGGAAGUGGCACUGUGGAGUUAAGUGGCAAACUGAACCCGGCCAAGAGCGCGGAGAGCCAAGAACUUUUAGCUGGGCCGGGCCCGAAGACGCUAUAUUUUUUGCAUACGUAUUUGCGUUGCGAAAUAUUUUCAUUUUAUAUCGCUGCUCCUCGACGGCUUGCCGGCUCGCCGGCUUUUGUUGUGCAAUUUAUUUAGCAUGAAUUGUUUUGUUUUCCCCACCACGCUCUGGCUUUGGCUUUGGCUCUGGCUCUGGCUCUGGCUCUGGCUCUCGCUCUGGCGUUGGCUUUGGCCAGAGGAGUGGCUUCUACGUUCUGUGACAAAUUAAGUUGGCAGCAAAUAAGAUAUUUUUAUAGGUGCCCUGGGGAUUUGUUUAUGGCGAAGAGUUGGAAAUGAGCUACGACAAAACUAUUUCAUUUGGAAGCUGGCGGACGUUGUUUUUGAAGCGGAAUCUCCUGAUGGCUGGCAUCUUCACUUGAUCACAAUGUUUUCCAGUUAUAAUGGGAUUAUAUUAACUUUACGGUUCUAUACCUCUUCAUCUUUUUCUAACCAUGCAAGAAAAAAAAAAAUUCCCUAAAUAGGAAGAAAAAACGCUGCAAACAUUUUAAUCAAAUUUGGCAAAGUGUGUGUCUAAAUUGGCAGACAUACGAGUAGGUCUGCUCCCCCAUGGAGCCACACCACCUCUGGGUCUCCACACAUGUCGUAAUUUGCACCAAGCCAAUUUGCGUCUGCCUUUGAACUUGGCUCAACAAAUUUUAACCCCUCGGUCGC
rnacentral:sRNA from 1 species